GGAUGUGAGGGCAAUCUGGCUGCAACAUCUGUCACCCCAUUGAUCUCCAGGGUUGAUUCGACUGAUCUGGCUGGCUAGGCGGGUGUCCCCCUCCUCC
rnacentral:snRNA from 1 species